CCGUAAACGAUGGCAACUAGGUGUUGGGGGUCAUUGACCCCCUCAGUGCCGAAGCUAACGCGAUAAGUUGCCCGCCUGAGGACUACGAGCGCAAGCUUAAAACUCAAAGGAAUUGACGGGGACCCGCACAAGCAGCGGAGCGUGUGGUUUAAUUCGAUGCAACACGAAGAACCUUACCUGGGCUUGACAUUAUCUUGCCCGUCUAAGAAAUUAGAUCUUCUUCCUUUCGGGGAAGACAGGAUAACAGGUGGUGCAUGGUUGUCGUCAGCUCGUGUCGUGAGAUGUUGGGUUAAGUCCCACAACGAGCGCAACCCUUGUGCUUAGUUGCUAACUUGUUUUACAAGUGCACUCUAAGCAGACUGCCGCAGAUAAUGCGGAGGAAGGUGGGGAUGACGUCAAAUCAUCAUGCCCCUUACGUCCCGGGCUACACACGUGCUACAAUGGCCUGUACAGAGGGUAGCGAAAGAGCGAUCUUAAGCCAAUCCCAAAAAGCAGGCCCCAGUUCGGAUUGGAGGCUGCAACUCGCCUCCAUGAAGUAGGAAUCGCUAGUAAUCGCGGAUCAGCAUGCCGCGGUGAAUACGUUCCCGGGCCUUGUACACACCGCCCGUCACACCACGAAAGUUGGCGAUACCUGAAGUUACUGGGCUAACCUGGCACUCAACUAAGCACAUUAAGCCUUAUUUUAAGCAAAUAAGCUAGUGUAUUUAGUUGAGUGCCGGGAGGCAGGUACCGAAGGUAUGGCUGGCGAUUGGGGUG
rnacentral:rRNA from 1 species